rnacentral:rRNA from 1 species
UACGUAGGGGGCUAGCGUUGUCCGGAAUCAUUGGGCGUAAAGAGCGUGUAGGCGGCCCGGUAAGUCCGCUGUAAAAGUCAAAGGCUCAACCUUUGAAUGUCAGUGGAUACUGCCGGGCUAGAGUCCGGAAGAGGCGAGUGGAACUCCUGGUGGAGCGGUGAAAUGCGUAGAUAUCGCUUGGAACGCCGACGGUGAAAACAGGUUGCUGGGAAUGUGCCGACGCUGAGACACGAAAGCCAGGGGAGCAAACGGG